rnacentral:rRNA from 1 species
GACGAACGCUGGCGGCGUGCUUAACACAUGCAAGUCGAACGGAAAGGCCCUGCUUUUGUGGGGUGCUCGAGUGGCGAACGGGUGAGUAACACGUGAGUAGCCUGCUCUUGACUUUGGGAUAACUUCAGGAAACUGGGGCUAAUACCGGAUAGGAGCUCCUGCUGCAUGGUGGGGGUUGGAAAGUUUCGGCGGUUGGGGAUGGACUCGCGGCUUAUCAGCUUGUUGGUGGGGUAGUGGCUUACCAAGGCUUUGACGGGUAGCCGGCCUGAGAGGGUGACCGGCCACAUUGGGACUGAGAUACGGCCCAGACUCCUACGGGAGGCAGCAGUGGGGAAUAUUGCACAAUGGUCGGAAGCCUGAUGCAGCAACGCCGCGUGCGGGAUGACGGCCUUCGGGUUGUAAACCGCUUUCGCCUGUGACGAAGCGUGAGUGACGGUAAUGGGUAAAGAAGCACCGGCUAACUACGUG